rnacentral:lncRNA from 1 species
GCCACCCCCUGCUCCACGGCACCCAGUCCCAUCGACCACCCAAGGGCUGAGGAGUGCGGGCGCACGCAGGGGACUGGCAGGCAGCUCCACCUGCAGCCCCGGUGCGGGAUUCACCGGGUGAAGCCAGCUGGGCUCCUGAAUCUGGUGGGGCUUUGGAGAACCUUUACAAUCCCUGAGCUAGACAUAAAUACACCAAUCGGCACUCUGUAUCUAGCUCAAGGUUUGUAAACACACCAAUCAGCACCCUGUGUCUAGCUCAGGGUUUGUGAGUGCACCAAUGGACACUCUGUAUCUAUCUGCUCUGGUGGGGCCUUGGAGAACCUUUGUGUGGAUACUCUGUAUCUAAUCUGAUGGGGACGUGGAGAACCUUUGUAUCCAGCUCAGGGAUUGUAAACGCACCAAUCAGCGCCCUGUCAAAACAGACCACUGGGCUCUACCAAUCAGCAGGACGUGGGUGGGGCCAGAUAAGAGAAUGAAACCAGGCUGCCCCAGCCAGCAGUGGCAACCCGCUUGGGUCCCCUUCCACACUGUGGAAGCUUUGUUCUUUUGCUCUUUGCAAUAAAUCUUGCUACUGCUCACUCUUUGGGUCCAUGCUGCUUUUAUGAGCUGUAACACUCACCACGAAGGCCUGCAGCUUCACUCCUGAAGCCAGCGAGACCACGAGCCCGCCGGGAGGAACGAACAACUCCAGAUGUGCCGCCUUAAGAGCUGUAACACUCACCGCAAAGGUCUGCAGCUUCACUCCUGAGCCAGCGAGACCACGAACCCACCAGAAGGAAGAAACUCCGAACACAUCCGAACAUCAGAAGGAACAAACUCCAGACGCACCACCUUAAGAGCUGUAACACUCACCGCAAGGGUCCGCAGUUUCAUUCUUGAAGUCAGUGAGACCAAGAACCCACCAAUUCCGGACACAUUUUGGCGACCCAGAUGGGACUUUCGCCUAUCACCAAGCGGUGAGACCAUCACCUAUAGCUGAGCGGUGAGACCAUCACCUAUAGCUGAGCGGCGAGACCAUCACCUAUCACCAAGCAAAUCAAGGCCAUCAAGCUACAGAUGGGCUUACAAAUGGAACCCAAAAUGAGUUCAACUAACAACUUCUACCAAGGGCCCCUGGACCGACCCACUGGCACUUCCCCUGGCCUAGAGUUCCCCUCUGAAGGACACUACAACUGCAAGGCCCCUUCUUCACCCCAUCCAGCAGGAAGUAGCUAGAGCGGUCAUCGGCCAAAUUCCCAACAGCAGUUGGGGUGUCCUGUUUAGAGGGGGGAUUGAGAGGUGACAGCAUGCUGGCAGUCCUCAGCCCUCACUCACUCUUGGCACCUCCUCUGCCCGGGCUCCCACUUUGGUGGCACUUGAGGAGCGCUUCAGCCCACCGCUGCACUGUGGGAGCCCCUUUCUGGGCUGGCCAAGGCCAGAGCCGGCUCCCUCAGCUUCCAGGGAGGUGUGGAGGGAGAGGCUCAAGCGGGAACUGGGGCUGCGUGCGGCGCUUGCGGGCCAGCUGGAGUUCCGGGCGGGCGUGGGCUUGGCGGGCCCUGCACUCAGAGCAGCCAGCCGGCCCUGCCGGCCCCGGGCAGUGAGGGGCUUAGUACCUGGGCCAGCAGCUGUGAAGGGUGUACUGGGUCCCCCAGCAGUGCCAGCCCACCGGCGCUGCACUCGAUUUCUCACCGGGCCUUAGCCGCCUUCCCAUGGGGCAGGGCUUGGGACCUGCAGCCCGCCAUGCCUGAGCCUCCCACACCCCCUCCAUGGGCUCCUGUGCGGCCCGAGCCUCCUCGACGAGCGCCACCCCCUGCUCCACGGCACCCAGUCCCAUCGACCACCCAAGGGCUGAGGAGUGCGGGCGCACGCAGGGGACUGGCAGGCAGCUCCACCUGCAGCCCCGGUGCGGGAUUCACCGGGUGAAGCCAGCUGGGCUCCUGAAUCUGGUGGGGCUUUGGAGAACCUUUACAAUCCCUGAGCUAGACAUAAAUACACCAAUCGGCACUCUGUAUCUAGCUCAAGGUUUGUAAACACACCAAUCAGCACCCUGUGUCUAGCUCAGGGUUUGUGAGUGCACCAAUGGACACUCUGUAUCUAUCUGCUCUGGUGGGGCCUUGGAGAACCUUUGUGUGGAUACUCUGUAUCUAAUCUGAUGGGGACGUGGAGAACCUUUGUAUCCAGCUCAGGGAUUGUAAACGCACCAAUCAGCGCCCUGUCAAAACAGACCACUGGGCUCUACCAAUCAGCAGGACGUGGGUGGGGCCAGAUAAGAGAAUGAAACCAGGCUGCCCCAGCCAGCAGUGGCAACCCGCUUGGGUCCCCUUCCACACUGUGGAAGCUUUGUUCUUUUGCUCUUUGCAAUAAAUCUUGCUACUGCUCACUCUUUGGGUCCAUGCUGCUUUUAUGAGCUGUAACACUCACCACGAAGGCCUGCAGCUUCACUCCUGAAGCCAGCGAGACCACGAGCCCGCCGGGAGGAACGAACAACUCCAGAUGUGCCGCCUUAAGAGCUGUAACACUCACCGCAAAGGUCUGCAGCUUCACUCCUGAGCCAGCGAGACCACGAACCCACCAGAAGGAAGAAACUCCGAACACAUCCGAACAUCAGAAGGAACAAACUCCAGACACACCACCUUAAGAGCUGUAACACUCACCGCAAGGGUCCGCAGUUUCAUUCUUGAAGUCAGUGUGACCAAGAACCCACCAAUUCCAGACACAUUAGCACUGGCUCCUUUUUUUUUUAGACGGAGUCUCGCUCUUUUGCCCAGGCCGGAGUGCAGUGGCGCGAUCUCGGCUCACUGCAAGCUCCGCCUCCCAGGUUCAUACCAUUCUCCUGCCCCAGACUCCCGAGUAGCUGGGACUACAGGCACCCGCCACUGAACCUGGUUAAUUUUUUGUAUUUUUAGUAGAGAUGGGGUUUCACCGUGUUAGCCAGGAUGGUCGCUAUCUCCUGACCUCAUGAUCCGCCAGCCUCGGCCUCCCAAAGUGCUGGGAUUACAGGGGUGAACCACCGCGCCCGGCCUCACUCCUUUUUAAUUACGCAAAUAUCUCUAGCAAGUGGUUGCUCCACAGCCUGCUUGUAUCCCUCUUUUGAGAAAGCUUUUUCUUUCUUUGCCACAUGGGCAGACUACAAAAUUUCCAAACUUUUAUAUUCUGCUUCCCUUUUAAAUGUAAGCUCCAACUUUCUUCAUCAUUUCCAUCUGAGACUCAGCAGCUUGGAUCUCGCUGUCCAUAUCACUAUCAGCAUUUUGGUCACAACAAUUUAACCAGUCUCUAAGAAGUUUUAAACCUUCCCUCAUCUUCCUGUCUUUUUCUGAGCCUUCCAAACUCUUUCAGCCUCUGCCUGUUACAUAGUUCCAAAAUGACUUCCACAUUUUCAGGUAUCUUUAUAGUAAUUCCCCACCCCGGUGCCAAUUUUCUCUUAGAUUGCUAUACAGAAAUAGCUGAGACUGGGUAAUUUAUAAGAAAAGAGGUUUAAUUGGCUCAUGGUUCUACAGGCUGUACAGGAAGCAUAGCAGCAUCUGCUUCUGGGGAGGCCUCAGGAAACUUCCAAUCGUGGCAGAAGGCAAAGGGGAAGCAGGCACAUCACAUGGUGAAAGCAGGAACAAGGUCAGGGGGCAGAUGCUACACACUUUUAAAUGACUAGAUCUCGAGAGAACUGAAAAGACAGUACCAAGCUAUGAGGGAUCCACCCCCAUGAUCCAAACACCUCUGGGCAGGCCCCACAUUCAGCACUGGGGAUUACAAUUCAACAUGAGAUGUGGGUGGGGACAAAUAUCCAAACUAUAACAGCCUAUAAUUCACAUUUUAUCAUCAAAGGAGCAAAUAUUAUUCUUGGGGCAAAACUGAGUAAAUAUUGUCGUCCCACAUGGAUGUGAACUAUUUCUAGUCUCUUUCCUGAUAGAAGUAGGGGAAAAAAUGCAUUUACUAAAUCAGUGGCUGUGUAUUAUGUACCUCACACUUAGUACCCCUACUGUGUGCAGUCAUUGAGUGGAAGUAAACCAGAAAGUGGCCUCAGUGUGAGAACUGAGGUGGAUCCAAAAAUGGCAGCUGGCUGGGCAUGAUGGCUCACACCUGUAAUCCUAGCACUUUGAGAGCCCAAGGCAGGCAAAUCACUUGAGGUCAGGAGUUUGAAACCAGACUAGCCAACAUGGUGAAACCCUUUCUCUACUAAAAAUACAAAAAAUUAGCCAGGCGUGGCCGGGCACAGUGGCUCAUGCCUGUAAUCCCAGCACUUUGGGAGGCCGAUGCAGGCAGAUCACCUGAGGUCAGGAGUUCGAGACCAGCCUGACCAACACAGUGAAACCCCGUCUCUACUAAAAAUACAAAAACUAGCUGGGCAUGGUGGCUCGCCACUGUAGUCCCAGCUACUCAGGAGGCUGAGGCAGGAGAAUCACUUGAACCUGGGAGACGGAGGUUGUAAUGAGCCAAGAUUGCACCACUGCACUCUAGCUCGGGCUACGGAGCAAGAAUCUGUCUCAAAAAAAAAAGAAAGAAAGAAAGAAAGAAAGAAAGAAAGAAAGAAAGAAAGAAAAAGAAAAAAUUAGCCAAACAUGGUGGUUCAUGCUUGUAACCCCAGCUACUCAGGAGGCUGAAGCAGGAGAAUCGCUUGAACCUGGCAGGCAGAGGUUGCAGUGAGCUGAGAUUGUACCACUGCACUUCAACCUGGGCAACAGAGUGAGACUCCAUCCCCACUCCCCCACAAAAAAAACAGCAGCUAGAGGCUGGCCAGGGAACUAUGUUUCUCAUAGAGGCCUGCCUGCCUGCCUGCCUUCCUUCCUUCCUUCUUUCCUUCCUUCUCUGUUUUUCUUUGACAUGAAUUAAAAAAUAAUUUUCAUUAUGUAUGCAUUAACAUUGUUUUACUGUGGCAAGAACACCUAACAUGAGUUCUACUCAAUGGCAUUUUAAGCGCACAAUGCAGUAUUGUCAUCUACAGGCACAAUAUUGUAUAGCAGAGCUCUAGAAUUCACCUUGCAUAAUUGAAAUGUUAUAUCCAUUGAUUAGCAACUUCCCAUUUCCUGCAACCACCAUUCUACUCUCUGUUUCUAUAAGUUUGAGUAUUUUAGAGACCUCAUAUAAGUGGAGUCAUGGAGUAUUUAUCCUUCUGGGACUGGCUUAUUCUCUUAGCAUAAUGUCCUCAAGUUCAUUAUGUUGUUGCAUAUUGCAGGAUUUCCUUUUUUAAAGCUGAAUAAUAUUCCAUGUGUGUAUAUACUACAUUUUUUAAAUCCAUUCAUUGGUCAAUAGACUUUAGGUUGUUUCCAGUCCUUGGCUAAGAAUAGUGCUGCAAAUGAACACGGAAGGGCAGACAUCCAAGAUCUCGAUUUCAAGUUUUGUGUGUGUAUUUGUUUGUUUGUUUGUUUGUUUUUUGAUAAAUACCCAGAAGUAGUAUUGCUGAAUCAUAUCGUAGUUGUAUUUUUGGAGAAACUUCCAUGCUGUUUUCCAUAGCAGCUGCACCAUUUUACAGCAGGUUUUCUUAAGGGAGGUCUGGG